CCGCCCUGGAAGAAGUGAACUGACCGGAGUCUUCAACAAAAAUGAAGCUAUGAAAAAAGGAAGGAGACGUCCAGGACUGAACAGAGCUGUCACCUGUCACAGUGCAGUGCACCGACUGACUGACGCUAUUUGCUUGGAUGUUGCUGAAAGAAAGGAGGCAUUCUUCAUUGUGCACUAGCCUACUGUGGAGGCCGAGAGAGUUUUGACGAGGCUUCUGUACCCAGGAGGCGGAGGCAGCAAUGCCAGCUUCAAUGCGCACAGUCCUUUAAAAGGGACACCCAGCUAAGAUUUUAUUGCAAAUUCUACACAGAAUGCACUGCUCUACA